UACGUAGGGACCAAGCGUUGUUCAGAUUUACUGGGCGUAAAGGGCGCGUAGGCGGCGCGGUAAGUCACUUGUGAAAUCUCUGAGCUUAACUCAGAACGGCCAAGUGAUACUGCAGUGCUAGAGUGUGGAAGGGGCAAUCGGAAUUCUUGGUGUAGCGGUGAAAUGCGUAGAUAUCAAGAGGAACACCGAUGGCGAAGGCAGGUCUCUGGGCCACUACUGACGCUGAGAAGCGAAAGCAUGGGGAGCGAACAGG
rnacentral:rRNA from 1 species